AGUCGUGUGGUAAAUACAAAGCGAACUAUUCUUUCGCCUUUUACUAAAGAAUACCGUGUAUUUGCCACUUUAAGCGGCAUACGCCAAUUUUUUAGCAAGGGUCUUCUUACGAGGACCC
rfam:Glycine soja cultivar W05 scaffold12687_1, whole genome shotgun sequence.